rnacentral:rRNA from 1 species
GUAGGUGGCAAGCGUUGUCCGGAAUUAUUGGGCGUAAAGCGCGCGCAGGCGGUCCUUUAAGUCUGAUGUGAAAGCCCACGGCUCAACCGUGGAGGGUCAUUGGAAACUGGGGGACUUGAGUACAGAAGAGGAAAGCGGAAUUCCAAGUGUAGCGGUGAAAUGCGUAGAGAUUUGGAGGAACACCAGUGGCGAAGGCGGCUUUCUGGUCUGUAACUGACGCUGAGGCGCGAAAGCGUGGGGAGCAAACAGGAUUAGAUACCCUGGUAGUCCACGCCGUAAACGAUGAGUGCUAAGUGUUAGGGGGUUUCCCGCCCCCCUUAGUGCUGCAGCUAACGCAUUAAGCACUCCGCCUAGGGAGUACGGCCGCAAGGCUG